GCAUCCACAGCAGAAACCACACAGGACGUCAGGAACCGCAUCGACAAAGACAAUCCGACCUUCAUCAUCAAGGCUCGAGGCCAACCGAACCAGGCCGAUUACAACGGUCGAACGAUGUUAUCGUUAGGAUAUUAGCGCUUUUUGAAAUAAUGAUGAUCGGCUGGAGCUCUCACAGUGAAAUUAACGCACAUAUAUUCAUUUGUCAUGAAACACUUAAUCAAAUCCUCAGAAUCGGAGUUGCGCAUAAAUAUGUCCUUGCGCCGCUUGUCCACUAGAGGGGGCACUGACUCCAUUCAAUCCAAUAAGCAUCUUUCUUCAGACGAUGAAGUGGUUGUCCCAGUUCUCGCGAGGCUGUGCACAAACGCCUCCAAUUUUGACAGCAACAAUGGUGGAUUGCUGAAGAAGCUCCUGAGCACAAUUGCCUUCGUCAGCAGCGAGGAGAGAAGGAAAACAGUAAAUCCCACAUGUUCUUAAAUCCACCGCCAAUAACAAGCAGAAGGGCAACCAUGGGAAGGUUUUGGGGACGCGAUGGCGGACCCCGGUGGACCGGAGGGUGUGCCCACUCACCCAUCUCCAGGUACUCGCUGAAGAGCCCCUCGCAAAGCAGGAGCUGGUAGUCCACCUCCCACGGACAUAUGUCCUGCUCCACUCCUUCCUGCUCUUCCAGCUGCUUGGCCUUCCCUCUUCUCUUCCUCUUCUGCCACCACGCCCUCAACUUCCUGCCGCCAAGCAGGAAAACAGAAAACAGUCAAACGAGCUCGUUAAAAACAUCCAUCCGUGUGCUAAAGCGCUUCUUCAUCCUCAUUUAGGUCAAGGGUGAGCCGGAGCCUCUCUCAGCUGACUUUGGCGGAGAGGCGGGGUACACCCUGGACCGGUCGCCAACCAAUCGCGUUGGACGAUAUAGACAAACAAUUGACUGGUCACCAGUCAAUGUUGGAGGCAUAUGGACAAACAACGGAUUGUCAAACACGCACACACGUUUUGCACUGGGGCGGGAUUAGAGUUCGGGUAGGCCAGUCUGUGAGGUAAGAGGGCUGAAAGAGAAGUCAGCUUUGUCGGUGUGAUGCGCUAGCUAAGCGGGUGUUCUUACGGGCAGACGAACUCCUGGAUGUUGUUGAUCAGUUGUUUCCCCACCAUGAUGACCAGCAGCUCCUGGGCCAGCUCGAUGAGGCAGCCGCCCGCACCGCACUGUCGUCACAACGACCACAAGUCAGGCUUUUCAUUCGAGUGGUAGAAAGGUUGACCGACGGUGGGCGGCACUCACGUCUUCAUUGCGCACUCCAAACAGCGUGAAGUACUUUCCUGGGUAGCCAAUGAAUCUGGACACACAAGCCACAUGACUAAAGCCGGGUACUGUUGGAAUGGAUGAGUGGCAAACAAGUCUGCACCUUUAGCAGCUCAUCAAAAGCACAAAAUGCCAACAUUGUGCACUCCUUACACGGGGAAACUCCACCCAGGAAUCGAAAGUCCAGCUCGUGAGCAAAAAACGAACAAUCCAACUCUCGCCUGACGCCAAGAAGGCGAGAAAACCAUUUGACGGUGUUUGUUGCUCACCUGCCUUUGAAGAAGGCGAUGUACACCGGAGACGAGUAGAAGUUGACAAACUGGAAGACGAACACUUUGAGGAUGAACAUGUCUUCGUAUUUUGUUUGAGUGCGAUGCAUCUCUGACGCACACACACAGGCAAUAACACACACACGUAUAACGCCACCAUACCAAUCAUAAUGUGACUUACAGCUGCUUUUGCUCAGUGGCCAGUGUAGUAGACGACCAUCUGAUGAUCAGUAAGUGGUCAAACUAAGUAGGUGAAAAAUGUGGCAAAUGUGCCCAUGACCUAAUGUCUUCAUGUCACAAAAUGCUAAAACGCUAGCCGCUUAAGUGAAGAUGCACAAAGGCUCUUAAUGCUUUUUAACAACAAUGCUAGUUGUUUGUGGAGCUCCCCUGCUUAUGGGUCUCAGGUGGCCGGAUCCCUGGAUGUGACCAUAUUGUUGUUGUUGUUGUUGUUGUUAAUUGAUUGGUUGGUUAGUUGAUGAAGUUUGGAUGAUAUGUUGUCUUUGGUGAGUGUGUCCCCUGGGGGUGGUCACGUGGUUCGUUGUUAUGGUUUUUGAAGAAGCCUUUUGCAUGAAAGGUAAAAUGGCUUCAACAACCAGCAAGAGUCGAGUUGCCAAAAUACAACGUCUCCGCAGUGAUCCUGCUUUGAGGGCCCAUCUCACCGGCGGAGACGUCGCCGAGCAGUCGCGGCGACUCCGGGACCCCGGGAGAGCAAAAUGUUGCUUGUGCUCUCGCCAGGAAGAUGCCUCGGAGACGUUUCCAGACAACUCCACAACCAAUUCACCCGGAGGUCGCUGAUGUAGGCCUAUAGUCAGUAGAUAUAUUAAAUAGAUACGUAAAGGAAACUGUGUGUUUGUGUGUGCGUGCUGUGUGUGGGCUUCGUCCUCAGCCGGUGGAGCACGGACUAUGAGGGAAAUGCGUUAACCUCCUUAAAAUCAGAAAUAUUGGCGUGAUCGCUCUGAUAUUUUCAGAGGUCGGAGUGGACAUAGGUCCAGAUAUCCAUAUAAAUUUUGGUAACAAUCGCUCGCAGCUUUGUGACAUUAAGCGACGUUGAGCUUUUUCUAUAGAAGAGGAAAACUCUUGACGUCCAUAAAAUCCCAAAUAUUGCGGCGAUCGUUCUGAUAUUUUCAGAGGUUGACAUAGCCAUAAGUAAAGAUACAUUUUGGUGACAAUGAAUUUCAGUUUUCGGACAUGAAGCUAUGUAAAGGUUUUUCUCUAUAGUGAACAUAUAGAGGAGUCGCCAAUAGGUUUCACCGCGACUCCUUGGUGACCCGGCCAGUCUCCAGGACACUGCAGGAGAAUUCUCAGGUCGCCAUGAAGUCGCUAACUUGUCUCCAGGGUCUUAAUGCCCAAGGUGGGACUGACCCCAUCUUGUGAGGAUGUGGGCGAGGGAGAUGUAAACACGGGACAAAAUCAGGAUGACCAGCAGGUUCAACACGGAUCCCGUCAGACUCGCAAUCCUGGCAGCCUGAAAGCAGACGACAAGUCAACGAGCAAGGAGAAGCUUCCUGAAUCCUCAACACUUUAAAGCAGGGUUGUCAAACUCAUUUUAGUUGUACCCCAAUUAGAUCUCAAGAGGGCCGGAGCAGAAUAUUUGUGGCUUAAAAGUCCUUAAAAAACAACUAUUCCAACUAUUCCAUUUAUUCAUUAUUGCUUUGUUACAAACCAUUGUAUAUUAGUGUGCACCUGAAACUUGGCAUUGUUUGUCCUUCACAAAUGCAUCAGUGUCAUUUAAGUGUUGUCAGUGCACCCGCCACUUUUAUUGAAAAAUAGCAGUGAAUGUGUUCUUCAUCCCCACGGGCCAGAUUGGACCCCCCGACGGGCCGGUUCUGGUCCGCAUGUUUGACACCACUGCUUUAAAGCAACAACUCUGUAACUUCGGUCUAAUUAAGUGCAUCAACUCUUACGGAGAAGAUGAAGAAGCUGAAGUUGGACUUGGAGAUGACAAUGCUCAGGAUGGAGCGAUACAGGAUGAUGGCAAUGAGGAACAUCAGGACCACCACCACCUGAAAGCGGCACCUGCAAGUUCAGCAGCUGAGCCUGUUUGGGUUUCCAAAGACUGCUGAAGCCUCACCAUGAUGAUGAGGAUCAUGCAGCCAGUCAGCACUCUGUUGAAUCGCUUCUUCUCUGGGAAGUACGGUUCCUCCGCGCCCGUCAGAGGGUUCCUCAUCGUCAUUGGCGCCAUGGCCGUGAACUCGGGUCGCGGUCGCUCCUGCCAAAGAUCGCGGAGGUUUAAGGACAAUAGAGGUGAUGCACAAGCAACUUCUGCAUUGGGCAAAACAGGACAAAGCACUUUCUUCUGGUUCAGAUGAUUGACGGAGACCGAUGGCGGGAGACUGGGACAAAGCACUUGGAGAAAUAAUAAACGUCUACAGUUUCUUUUAUUUGACAAAAGAUGUGUUCAAGUGCUCCCAAAGAUGACCAUAUCUGAUGUUUAGGCUUCGUUAUCAUAAAGUGUAUGUCUAAAUAAAUGAUAUACAAGUA